AUUGAACGCUGGCGGCAUGCUUUACACAUGCGAGUCGAACGGUAACAGGCCUUCGGGUGCUGACGAGUGGCGAACGGGUGAGUAAUGCAUCGGAACGUGCCCAGAGGUGGGGGAUAACGCAGCGAAAGCUGUGCUAAUACCGCAUGUGAUCUGAGGAUGAAAGCGGGGGACCAGGCAGCAAUGUUUGGCCUCGCGCCUUUGGAGCGGCCGAUGUCAGAUUAGGUAGUUGGUGGGUAAAGGCCUACCAAGCCGACGAUCUGUAGCUGGUCUGAGAGGACGACCAGCCACACUGGGACUGAGACACGGCCCAGACUCCUACGGGAGGCAGCAGUGGGGAAUUUUGGACAAUGGGCGCAAGCCUGAUCCAGCAAUGCCGCGUGCGGGAAGAAGGCCUUCGGGUUGUAAACCGCUUUUGUACGGAACGAAAAGGCUCUGGCUAAUACCUGGGGCUGAUGACGGUACCGUAAGAAUAAGCACCGGCUAACUACGUG
rnacentral:rRNA from 1 species